UACAGAGGUCUCAAGCGUUGUUCGGAAUCACUGGGCGUAAAGGGUGCGUAGGCUGCACGGUAAGUCAGAGGUGAAAUCCCGGAGCUCAACUUCGGAAUUGCCUCCGAUACUGCCGUGCUUGAGGACUGGAGAGGAGAUUGGAAUUCACAGUGGAGCAGUGAAAUGCGUAGAGAUCGUAGGGAAGACCAGUGGCGGAGGCGGGUCUCUGGACAGUUCCUGACACUGAGGCACGAAGGCCAGGGGAGCAAACGGG
rnacentral:rRNA from 1 species